UACGUAGGUGGCAAGCGUUGUUCGGAAUUACUGGGCGUAAAGGGCGCGUAGGCGGCCUUUCUAAGUCGAACGUGAAAUCCCUGGGCUCAACCCAGGAACUGCGUCCGAUACUGGAAGGCUUGAAUCCGGGAGAGGGAUGCGGAAUUCCAGGUGUAGCGGUGAAAUGCGUAGAUAUCAGGAGGAACACCAAUGGCGAAGGCAGCACUCUGGGACGUGACUGACGCUGAGACGCGAAAGCGUGGGGGAGCAAACAGG
rnacentral:rRNA from 1 species